rnacentral:rRNA from 1 species
UACGGAGGGUGCAAGCGUUAUCCGGAUUCACUGGGUUUAAAGGGUGCGUAGGCGGGCAGGUAAGUCCGUGGUGAAAUCUCUGAGCUUAACUCAGAAACUGCCAUGGAUACUAUUUGUCUUGAAUGUUGUGGAGGUAAGCGGAAUAUGUCAUGUAGCGGUGAAAUGACUUAGAUAUGACUAGAAACACCCAUUCGCGAAGGCA